UGUAUGCAUUCACUGUAAGUUGCUCUGGAUAAGAGUGUCUGCUAAAUGACUAAAA
rfam:Salmo salar isolate Sally breed double haploid chromosome ssa14, whole genome shotgun sequence.